rnacentral:rRNA from 1 species
UACGUAGGGAGCAAGCGUUGUCCGGAAUCAUUGGGCGUAAAGCGCGCGUAGGCGGCCCUGUAAGUCCGUUGUGAAAGUCAAAGGCUCAACCUUUGAAAGCCGAUGGAUACUGCAGGGCUGGAGUCCGGAAGAGGCGAGUGGAAUUCCUGGUGUAGCGGUGGAAUGCGCAGAUAUCAGGAGGAACACCAAUAGCGAAGGCAGCUCGCUGGGACGGUACUGACGCUGAGGAGCGAAAGCAUGGGGAGCGAACAGG